rnacentral:rRNA from 1 species
AUACGGAGGAUGCAAGCGUUAUCCGGAUUUAUUGGGUUUAAAGGGUGCGCAGGCGGGCUGUUAAGUCAGCGGUGAAAUGUCCCGGCUCAACCGGGGCCCUGCCGUUGAUACUGGCAGUCUGGAGUGCGGACGGCGCCGGCGGAAUGUGUCGUGUAGCGGUGAAAUGCUUAGAUAUGACACAGAACACCGAUCGCGAAGGCAGCUGGCGAGGCCGUUACUGACGCUGAGGCACGAAAGCGUGGGGAUCAAACAGGAUUAGAUACCCUGGUAGUCCACGCAGUAAACGAUGAUAACUUGCUGUUUGCGAUACACAGUAAGCGGCACAGCGAAAGCGUUAAGUAAUCCACCUGGGGAGUGCGCCGGCAACGGUGAAACUUAAAGGAAUUGACGGGG